GACGCCGGGAGGCGGGAUGGGUCCGAAACCAGCUCGGAGCGAGUCUUGAGCGGCGGCGGCCGCAGGGGACGGGGCGCGGCGACUAGGGCGGCGUGGGGCGGCGGGGAGAGGGACGGUGGCGCUGCACGCCGCGCACUUCCUGUUCAACACGCGCCGCCUCCCACCGCCCGCGCUCCCCGAGCUUGCGUCGGUGCCAGGCCCGGCCCCUCACUGUCCCCUCGCCGUCCCCUGGGGCCGCCGCGCGGCAGGGGGCGAGAAGCGGGCGCCCUGCCCUUCUCGGCCCGCGGGGCUCCGGGCGCCCCCUCCGGCGAGCAGGGCCGCGAGCGCCGCCGCCAGAACUUCUGCCAGCGGCCGCCCGUAGCCCAAUUGCGCAGAGGGCUCGCCUUGCACCUCCUCUUCCCCCGCCGCCCUCCCUUUCGCCCAGAAAGGAGGACGGACCCAGCUGCAGGCUCCGAGCUGGUUUAUUCUGCGGCCGAGGAUUACAUUUAUGCACGAACGGUCUCACUGGCUCCAGAUUCCCCACUUGGGCACAGGCAUAGGAGGGUUGUUUUCCAAAUUGCUGGUUUUAAUUGCACCUGCCUUUCAGAUUACCUCGGGGAAUCUGUGGGAGGAGCUGAGAGGGUGGAAAAUGUUUCUUCCCUUUGCAAAAGGAAGAAAACUUUGUCACCCAGCGGGAGACCUCAGCCACGCGUAACCCGCGAGACACCAGAACCGGGACGGGCUUUGACUGAUUCUGCCUGCGAAAGGACGCUUGAACUCGGCGCUCCGGCGGCGGCGGCACGAGUUCCCUGCUCACCGUCCCUCCCCGCGGAAGUCUCCACGAGCUGGCUUCAGGGUUUAUGGGAAGCGCGGUUAUGGACACCAAGAAGAAAAAAGAUGUUUCCAGCCCCGGCGGGAGCGGCGGCAAGAAAAAUGCCAGCCAGAAGAGGCGUUCUCUGCGCGUGCACAUUCCGAUCUGAAACCCCAGAGGACAGAAGCGUUGUGUCUGGAAGAAAGAGCUGGUCAGAAGGUGUCCAGGCUGGGAGCAAGGGCUGGAGCAGCCCCAGUGGAGCUUGUCGGUGCUUUGCCGCGUGGGUAUACCAGGUUAGCUCAUUGUCCUGUUGGAAGGAAAAGGGCUCUGAGCCUUCAGAAGAUGAGCAGCACCCCAGGACGAGUGGUAGGGCUGGGAAGGCCAGGGGGGGUACAGCCUCAGUGGGGUGCUUCACAGGGUCUCAGGCAUCGAGGGCCCGUGGGAAGGACAAGUUCCUAGAGAGGCUCAGGGACAAGAGUUCAAGGCUGGCGUCCAGUGAGGAUGUGGCCUGAGAAAAGGAACAGAGCUGAUCAUGGGAGGAAAAGUCAGCUAACGGCCACCUGCGUAAUUUACUCCCAGCAGGUCCCUGUCGCCCCAGCCUGCUAACCCUUGGCCAGAGGAAAAUUACCAGCAGCUCAGGGGCUCUCUUUGGAUGCUUGGCCAAGAGGAAUAUUCUUAACUGUACCAUCUCGGCCACACGGUUCAGCUGGUAUCUGCUGUGUGGACACUGCUGUGUACCCAGAAUAACACUAGACUUCAGGGACCCCAGCCUAGGGCUGCAGUCUUCCCGCAAAGUCCAGGUGGUUUACACUGGGAGAUUCCAGAACCAUUUCCCUCCCAGGCAUCCUCUGUCAAGCACCGGCUUUGCACAGGUACAAGGCUGAGAGCAUUUACCUAGCAGUCCCUCACCCCACCGCUGACCCCCAUACACACUUGCAUUAGUAACAGCCUUGGUGAGGACUCAACAUUUGUGUCACCAAAACACAAAUCCCUUUGCAAAACUGGAUCUCAUUCCCAUCUGUGGGUGUUAGUGAACUGUCCUCCUCUUCAUAUAUGACCAAGCUUUGUAGAACAGUCAUGCCAAUGCCCUAGAAUACAACUACAGAAGACUACUGUAGGACGUGGCAUUUAUGAAGCCCUAUGGUGGUUAUAAGAGAGGGAUUCAUUUUACAAAGGUAACUGGAAGAAUACUCACUUAUCUGCACGUCCAAACACUCACCCACAUGCACACGCAUACAUACCUACACAGACAGACACACGUGCACAAAGGCCACCUCCCACCAGCGUCCUAAGUUAUGGUGUCCCUCAGAAACAGAGGGUCGUUGUGGGAUAGGGUAGUCCCAAAUUGCAGUCAUUCAUACCUGCACAAUUUUUAUAUCCAAGUGCAAUUUUUAAGCUUAUAGUUAUUUAUUUUUUAUUUUUAAAUUUUUUUGAGACAGAGUUUCCAUCACCCAGGCUGGAGUGCAGUGGGUGUAAACUUGGCUCACCACAAACUCUGCCUACCGGUUUCAAGAUUCUCCUGCCUCAGCCUCCUGAGUAGCUGGGAUUACAGGCGUGCGCCACCACACCCAGCUAAUUUUUGUAUUUUUAGUAGAGAUGGGAUUUCACUAUGUUGGCCAGACUGGUCUUGAACUCCUGACCUCAAGUGAUCUGCCCACCACCCAAAGUGCUGGGGUUACAACUGUGAGCCAUCGCGUCUGGUCUUACAUUUAUUUUUAAAAGAAACUUUCUAAGACUAGUAGAAAUGGAAAACCUCUAACAUGGUUCACCAUAAACUGUAAAAAUAAACAGCUGCCCAUCAGGGUAAAUCGUGUCA
ensembl:lncRNA